rnacentral:rRNA from 1 species
GACGAACCGAGCAAACGUUAUUCGGAAUCACUGGGCUUAAAGGGCGCGUAGGCGGGCCAUCAAGUCAGGGGUGAAAGCCCCCAGCUCAACUGGGGAAGUGCCUUUGAUACUGGUGGUCUCGAGGGGGAUAGGGGCAUGCGGAACUUCCGGUGGAGCGGUGAAAUGCGUAGAUAUCGGAAGGAACACCGGUGGCGAAAGCGGCGUGCUGGAUCCCUUCUGACGCUGAGGCGCGAAAGCCAGGGGAGCGAACGGG